GGCCUCCCGGCGCUUUCCGCAGGCCACGUUCUUAUGCUGACGAUAUAGAAAGAGGAGGCAAAAUAAACCCACCCGUGGACACAUCAGCCGGGGCCACUGUGCCUGGUCUGUAUUGUCAGUGGGGAGACAUGG
ensembl:snoRNA